rnacentral:lncRNA from 1 species
CAGAGCUUUAGCAGCUCCUCAGCUCUGGACACAAAAUGCAUGGUGUUGAGCUCCUCAGAAGCUCCAGUGGCCUGGGGUUCUCUCUCAUGGAUCCAGGAGGAAGCCUUGGGAUCAAGAGCCUGAUUGACCAGGUCCAGAUCAUCAAAAUAAGAAUGAGCAGAACAAUGAGCCCUCCCAGAGGAAGAGACAGCCAACAGAAAAUGUUAUUCCAUCCAAGAAAUCAAUUUGUUUAUUCAUAAUUUGAACAAAGUAUUUCCAUGCCAAUUACUGAUUGGUCUCUCCAAGGUCUUUUUGUUUUUUAACUCACCAUAACAGAUGGAGGAAAAUAUAUAUACAACUAAAACCUGAUAGCAUAAUUAGUGGACUGGAAGUUGGGGUAAAAACCACAUAACCAAAUCCUUAACAGGAAGGUCAAUAUCAAG